UCCAUUAUCAUUCGUUCAUUGUUCUGUGCUUGUUGUGUGAGAGGUUAUCUGGUUAGGUUUUGUACUUAGGUACGUAACAAAUCCCAUACUCGUAUAACACCAAGAAGUCAAGAAGAAGGGAAAUAUCUCUUAAGUAUCAUCCCUCUAGGGAAAAGAAAAUUGUAUAGGCCUCUCGCUCAAAUGCCCAAUUCUCAUUUGAGUGUCACUAUAUUACCGCUUGAGCAUCAAUAUAAUGUUUAAGCGACUAGAAUCUUAAAAGAGAGAAUUGCUAUGGUGUUUCUCUUGUCUCCUGAGCAACCAAAAUUCCAGAGCAGAAAGAAUUGUUAUAGGAUCUCUUUCUAGCUUGAACUAAUAUCCAUAGCUUGAGCAACAGUGCUCCUCGCUUAAGCGACGUAUGGUUUCCUAAGCGAAGUGAACAAACUUCACAAAACAAAGUCUUUGAUUUUUUCAUUCUAAAAUCAUUUCUCCUCUAUAUACUAUGUGUUGUAAUUAGAGGAAAAUCUUUUUAAUUAGAAAAAAUAUAU
rnacentral:sRNA from 1 species